GGAACCCCGGGAGCUCAGCCCAACACCGCGGGAGGGUCCGGCAUCCCCGGGGCUCCCUCCAGGCCCCCCCGCGCCUCGUUCCGGUACCGCCAGGACCGCCCUUGUCCCGCAGCUCCCGCAGGCAGGACGCAACCACGCCGCGCUGCCCCAGCCCCCGCCGCGCCGCUCCAGCCCGCACCGCUCCAGCCCGCGCCGCCGCCCCACACAGCGCUUCAGCCGCGCAGCCAUCCCCUGGCGGAGGGCGAGGCUUCUCCAGGCAGGGAGGCGCGUCUGCCAUGAAGGGAGCCUUGCAUCUUUUGGGAUCUCCUGAUCAUCUCAACUGCAGCUUGGCAUUUUUUCACAUGUGUUAUCUGGUCCCAAGGUGAAGCUGCUCUGUGUUGAAGAUGACUACAGACACCCAGAUGCAGAGCGCUGGUCCCAGGAGGCUCUAGGCACCGGAGGGGAGGUGAUCCGAGUGAGUACCGGGGGUUCUGCCACCUUCUAACAGACAGUCCAAUGCUUCAGGGCCCCUGCUGGUAAUAGGUCACUGUGGAGGAGAGGUAGGUAGGAGCUCCCACAGGAAAGCCAUCCUUUCAGGCAGUAUCUCAGUAUAUACAUUUGCCUUUGGCUUUUUUACUUUGCAGAGAAUGUGUGCAGCCUCAGAGGGCUGGAGCCACCUGCCAAUUACGUUUGAUGGUCUUCAUCUGUCCUUGUCAGUAGUCUCCUAGUACUACGAGGCUCAUCAAUUAAGGCUUGACCUUUUCUGGUUGCAGGUGCCAUCCAGCCUGCCUUUGGCAAAGGAGGAGCAUUAAGGUUGAGGUACGGCACACAGUGACGGCAGCAGCCUCUGACUUGGGUCAGAGCCAGUGGCCCGAGAACUUCUCAGCUUAGGGGACGGUGAGUAGCCAAUUGCGGGGUUAUCGCCUAUGUGCUGCCAAACUCUUGUGUCAGAAUCGGUCAGAUCUCAGCCAGCACCCAGUCGGGGCAGUCUAAGUCCCCGUAGAAGCAGAACUGCUGCGUGGGGAGAGGCGGUCAGAGGCGGUCACUGCCGCUCUGCGUCCUCCCCGCUCCCCGCCGCCGACUCCCGGCCCACCACGUCGCCGCUGCUCCCCGGUCCCCCAUGCCGCACAGUCCGCCUUCGCGAUCCGGAACCGCCCCGUGUGCCGGUGGGGGGCUCCCCGAGGGGCUCUGCAGGGGCCUUGGGGCCGGGACCCCGGGGGUGCAGCCCUACCAAGGGGCGGGGCAGGGGACGGGGUCCCGGGAGCGGGACCCGGGAUGGCUACGGACCCGCGGGAAGGGCCCCUCCGACACGGCCCUCGUCCCUCCUCCCGACCACCCGAGCACCUCCCGCCACCCCGCGGGCUCCAAGCCCCGCCAAUCCGGGCCCGAGGCAGCGUCUGGCCCGCCAAUCCCGGCCCGCCUUUCUCGGCGCCGUCCAAUCACAGCCCACCUUUUCAAUCCGGCAGCGGUCCCGCAAGCUCUGCCCGCUCAGCCGCGGCGCGGCCCCUCCGCGCGGCACCGUCCCCCCGUUCCCCUCAGGCGCUGCUGGGACCACGGAAGGGCGGUGGGAGCUCCGCGGUCACGCCCCGUCCGGGAGCUCUCCCAGGAGAAGGAGAGGGAGGCGGGGAGCGGGCGGGAGGGGCUCCGGGAGCGGGGCCUGCGGGACCAGCGGGGUUCUCGGGAACGGGCGGGCGGGGAUUGGCUGGGCUGGCACGGGGGGGCGGGGCUGUGCGG